GUAAUUUUGUGUUGGUGUGGGGAGAAAUGAGGUUGUUGUUGCUACUGGCAGUAGUACUGUUGGUGGCCAUUUUGGUGAAUUUUUCAAGCUUUGUUAAUGGUGAUACAGAUCCAUCUGAUGCAUCUGUUCUGAGAGUCCUGUAUACCACACUAAAUUCACCAGGGCAGCUGACAAAAUGGAGUGCCAAUGGCGGUGAUCCUUGUGGAGAGUCCUGGACAGGCAUUACCUGCUCGGGCAAUAAUGUUACUGAAAUCAAGUUAUCAGGUCUUGGGCUCUCAGGUUCAUUGGGGUCUCAGCUAGAUAGUCUAAAAUCUGUGACCAAUUUUGACAUAAGCAAUAACAAUAUGGGGAGCCAGAUACCUUACCAGCUUCCUCCAAAUGUGCAAAGACUAAACCUUGCUUCUAGUGGUUUUAGUGGUGGCCUCCCAUAUUCCAUUUCACAGAUGACCUCCCUCCAGUACUUAAAUGUCAGUCACAAUCAAAUUCAAGGAUCAGUAAUUGUCUCGUUUGACUUGCUCUCUGCACUCAACACAUUGGAUUUCUCUUUCAAUUCUAUGGCGGGUAAUCUUCCUCAAAGCUUCCGGUCACUAACUAGUAUGAACAAAAUGUAUUUGCAGAACAACCAGUUUAGUGGAACUAUUGACGUCCUGGCCAAUCUUCCCCUCGGAAAUCUGAAUGUUGAAAACAACCAAUUUACUGGCUGGAUUCCAGAUCAGCUGAAAGGGAUAGUGCAAUCAAAUGGUAAUUCAUGGAUCUCAGGACCUGCACCCCCGCCUCCACCUGGCACACCUCCUGCAAACAAUCCCAAUAGAGAUCACAAAUCCAGAGAAAACAGCAGCAAUCCAGGCAGUAAAAAAUCAGGUAUAGGGGGUGGAGGUGUUGCAGGAAUAGUGAUAUCUAUUCUAGUUGUUGGAGCAAUAGUAGCAUUCUUUAUUAUCAAGAAAAGAUCAAGAAGGUCUUCCUCAGACAUAGAAAAACUUGAUAAGCAGCCUCUUGCUCCUCUUACUUCACAGAAAGUAGAAGAGUUGAAACCUUAUCAAAUCUCCUCCACAGUAAGCGUGGGCACAUUUGAAACUCCCACUGCUGUAACUCUAAGACCUCCACCUAUUGAUCGCCUUAAGUCCUUUGAUGAGGUUGACAUUUCACCGAAACCUAUUGUUCCUCCCAAGAAAAUUAAUACAGCUCAAAUCAGCGCUACACAGUUCUCAAUUGCAGACCUACAAAUUGCUACUGAUAGCUUCAAUGUUGAAAACCUUAUUGGCGAGGGAUCAAUUGGGCGUGUUUAUUGCGCUCAGUUUGAUGAUGGCAAAGUUCUUGCUGUCAAGAAAAUCAAUUCGUCUGCCCUCCAAAAUCAUGAAGAUUUUCUCAAUAUAGUUUCUGAGAUAUCACAGUUGCAUCAUCCAAAUAUAAUUGAGCUUGUCGGUUAUUGUUCAGAGCAUGGACAGUACUUGCUAGUUCAUGAAUUCCAUAAAAAUGGUUCUCUGCAUGAUUUCCUGCAUCUAUCAGAUGAAGACAGCAAGCCACUGGCAUGGAAUAGCCGAGUCAAGAUUGCACUUGGUGCAGCACGAGCACUAGAGUAUCUGCAUGAAGUUCAUUCACCAUCAAUGGUUCAUAAGAACAUUAAAUCGGCAAAUAUUUUACUUGAUCUGGAACUCAAUCCUCAUCUAUCAGACUCUGGAUUAGCAAGCCUUAUUAAUGAUGCAGAUCAGGCACUAAACCAUAAUACAGGGUCUGGGUAUGGUGCACCUGAGGUAGC
rnacentral:misc_RNA from 1 species